ensembl:lncRNA
AAUCUCCAUUCUGAGCCCAUCGCCCUAGCCGAGCGAGAGUGCGUUUUCCUUCCGUGUCAAGGUUACCGCUUUACUCAGAAAGCCAAGCACUGCCCUCAGAGACUUCCAGGCCGCCUUCUCCACGUGUUACCAGAGGCCUCCGGGGGCACCCAGCCCCCGUGUGCCUGGGACGAGGCAGAAGCCUCGGUUUUGUGCAGGCUGGGUUUGAAAUGUGUGCUCCAGGCUGGCUUUUGGGAAGGCCCGGUUUCACUUUCAGAAGAUCUCGGGCUGAGCCGAAACUGCAGCCCUGAAGGAGCCCCCGGUGGCUCUUUCCACGCUGGACGCCCUGGCAGGACUGGAGGGGGCGGCCUGGCUCUCACUGCCCUGGUGACGGAGCCUGGCCAUGAUCACCGAGACCCAGGGCGUCCGGACCAGCGGGGCCUGCUUCUGCCCUCAGCCUGGAAGCCCACCCUCUCGGUCCCCACACUGCGGCCCCUUCUCAAGUCAUCUUCUGGGAACGGCGGCAGACUGGGAUGGGGGUCUGGGGAGACAGGCGGGUUCUGGAGCGGCUGUUGCCCCCAACAAACGUCCUUUUCUGUAGUGAGUGUUUUGCUCUGGCGAAUCGGGGCGUGAGGGCCUGAUGCUCCCCACCCCCAAGAGCCAGCCCCGAGGAGCGAGGAGCGCUUGUCCGAGGGUGUGGACCACGAGGACCGACCCACAGCCCCACCGAGGACGUAGCUGCCCACCCAGUCUCUCCUUUCUCCCCAGACACCGCCCGGCUGCCUCUCUGAAUGCUUUGCUCCUCCGACUGCUGUUUCGAACGUACGAUAUUAGAUUUUAGCUCGACGAGAGAAAUGACCCCUGCUUGAGGAGCGGCUCAUGAUGGCAGUAAUUGAGCAGCAAGGGUCCCGGGGUGACUGCGGCCAGGUGGAGGGCCUGGGGCAGCCGCUCAGGGUCCCUACGGUCCUGGGGGCCCACGUGCGUGAUGAAAACCCUCCUGGAAGGGAGUCCCGCUCAGCUGUGCUUUUAAUAUCCGCCUUAACACGGUUAUGCUUUUAAUAUAUGUCUUAACACGGAAAAGAGCGCUGGGGCUGCACUCCGAAGGCUUUCUCGGCUUCAUCCCCAGCUGUAGGCCAUCCAGCUGCCAAAGGGCCCGGGGUGGGGGGUUGGUUAUCACCACACCCCUCCCCAAGCGACGUCCUCGGUGAGCCUGUUAGCAACACUACCCCAGUGCAGGAGCAGGGGAGGAAUGGACCCCUUAGGCUGGCUGCCCUUCUAACACCACGCCCCUAUCAUUGUCCUGACCGUGAUACAGCCAGUCUUGCUUGCUCCUGGGGACAGGGACGUCCGCUGUGCUGAGGGCUCUUAUUGCUUCACGCUUCGGCUUUCUUUGAGCCAGGGCGGCUGCUCUGCGGCGGGACCCAGCAGUGUCGAGGAGAGCCACGGGCAAGGUGAAACCAGCCCAGGACAGAUGAAUAUGCACGGGCUUUGCGUCAGGCAGGCUGCGUCUGGGCCCUCCGCUUACUGGCUGUGACAGAAGCAACUUAAAUCUUGCUGAGCUCCCCCGUCCUUAUCUGUGCCAUCAGGCUAGUCCCAAGGGUCGGCAGUAGCGAUUAGACGAAAUGCUGGCUCUCCCUCAAGUUCACGGUCACGCCCAGCACAUGUGGUUUUACCGCUGCCCGCUCUGAUCAUUCCUGGAGCAAGUUUCAUCUUCUUUCUGCAUCUUUGCUGAGCACCUGCGAGGUGCUGCUGGCUGUGUGCAGAGAACUUCUCCCCGGAGGAGCUCACGGAUCCGGGAGGGACGUCAGGACAGGCAGGUGACAAGGCAGGGUGACUAGCGCUGGCUGAGCCCCUGAUGCCGAGGGGGCGGCGAGGCGGGAGGGAGCCCUGGAGAGGAGCUGGCCUUCCAGCCCCGUGUUUGAGGGUGAGCCGAGCUUGGAGGAGUGGAUGCGGUAAGGAGGGGCGCUUGGUCAGAAGGAAUAGCUGGGAG